UACGGAGGGGGCUAGCGUUGUUCGGAAUUACUGGGCGUAAAGCGCGCGUAGGCGGCUUUGUAGGUUAGAGGUGAAAGCCCGGGGCUCAACUCCGGAAUUGCCUUUAAGACUGCAUCGCUAGAAUUGUGGAGAGGUAAGUGGAAUUCCGAGUGUAGAGGUGAAAUUCGUAGAUAUUCGGAAGAACACCAGUGGCGAAGGCGACUUACUGGACACAUAUUGACGCUGAGGUGCGAAAGCGUGGGGAGCAAACAGG
rnacentral:rRNA from 1 species